rnacentral:rRNA from 1 species
AUAUUGCACAAUGGGCGCAAGCCUGAUGCAGCCAUGCCGCGUGUAUGAAGAAGGCCUUCGGGUUGUAAAGUACUUUCAGCGGGGAGGAAGGCGAUAAGGUUAAUAACCUUGUCGAUUGACGUUACCCGCAGAAGAAGCACCGGCUAACUCCGUGCCAGCAGCCGCGGUAAUACGGAGGGUGCAAGCGUUAAGCGGAAUUACUGGGCGUAAAGCACACGCGGGCGGUCUGUCAAGUCGGAUGUGAAAUCCCCGGGCUCAACCUGAGAACUGCAUGCGAAACUGGCAGGCUAGAGUCAUGUAGAGGGGGGUAGAAUUCCAGGCGUAGCGGUGAAAUGCGUAGAGAUCUGGAGGAAUACCGGUGGCGAAGGCGGCCCCCUGGACAAAGACUGACGCUCAGGUGCGAAAGCGUGGGGAGCAAAC